rnacentral:ncRNA from 1 species
GCUCUACUGACGGACUUGAACGGCAACCAAUAGCGAGAAUUGGGUAGGGC